AACACUAGGGGUGCCGUAAGGCUGAGACGAAUCGGAAGAUUCGGACCCUUUGAACCUGAAUGGGGUAAUACCUGCGUAGGGAAGUGGAGAGUU
rnacentral:ncRNA from 1 species